rnacentral:rRNA from 1 species
GACGAACGCUGGCGGCGUGCUUAACACAUGCAAGUCGAACGGAAAGGCCUCUUUCGGGGGGUACUCGAGUGGCGAACGGGUGAGUAACGCGUGAGUAACCUGCCCUUGACUUUGGGAUAACUUCAGGAAACUGGGGCUAAUACCGGAUAGGAGCUCCUGCUGCAUGGUGGGGGUUGGAAAGUUUCGGCGGUUGGGGAUGGACUCGCGGCUUAUCAGCUUGUUGGUGGGGUAGUGGCUUACCAAGGCUUUGACGGGUAGCCGGCCUGAGAGGGUGACCGGCCACAUUGGGACUGAGAUACGGCCCAGACUCCUACGGGAGGCAGCAGUGGGGAAUAUUGCACAAUGGGUGGAAGCCUGAUGCAGCAACGCCGUGUGCGGGAUGACGGCCUUCGGGUUGGAAACCGCUUUCGCUCAUGACGAAGCUUUGUGUGACGGUAGUGGGUAAAGAAGCACCGGCUAACUACGUG